AUUCAUUUUCUAGUCGUGAUGCCAAUUCAGUUAAGGGUAAUUAAAAUCAAAUGGGCAAGAAGACUUGUUGAAGUUGAAGAUGGGGUCGUGGCUGUGCUUUCUGAAUUUCCUUCGCCUUGGAUGGGUUCUUUUUGAAAAACUUGUACUACAUUUGUGAUAAGUGCUUAAAUGUUGCACAUUUCAGCACCUAAGCUAGGGUAUUUCAGUCUUUACAUCUAUCUUAAUUUCAUGUUUUAGUCCUAAUUUAUGUUUAUGUGUAUUUCAAGGCAAUAAAGUUAAAAUGAGCUAAGAACGGUCCAUUAAAGCCUUUUUGGAGUCAAGUAAAGAUAUUCAGAAAAAGUUCAGAAAAUGACAAAAAGAGGUCGUAGCCCAUUGCUCGUAUAAUGUGUUUAUUCUUCGAAAGUGGUCAAUCUUGGGCCUUUGACUAUGUUCCCAAAGAUGAAGAAGCAAAUCAAUUAGUCCGGGGCCAAAAUGGAGCUAAAUAAGGCUUAAAUGAAAUUUCCAACUCUGGGGGGAUCGAUCCCCGAGGACUUGGCAACAUUACAGAUUUUUCUUAUUGUUUGGGCUUAUUUUGUGAACUAUUGGGCUUUAAUAGGGUUAUUACUUAAGGCCCAGUGAGCCAUUAGUUUAGGGUUAGUUUUUAUUUUAUUUAGGAGAGAGUUUUAUUAUUUUAUUAUUAAGUUUUAUUAGGAAGUUUUAUUUUUUUCUGUACUGUGAUAUUACGUUCUCUCUAGGGAAAAGGGAAAAGCUAGGGUUUGAAGAAUAUUUUUACAGAGGCUUUGUCUACAAUUGAAGGAAGAAGAAGAAGGAGCCAAAAGAUGGAGAUGGAGCUUGUUGACACCAUGAUCAUCUUCUCCAUGAGCUAGUUCUUCACUUAGGGCUUGGAUAAGCCCUAAGUUCAUGUAACCCUAACCUUUGUUUUUAUUUUCUUAGGGAAUUAUUAUGUUGUAAUUAAAUAUAUGGCCUUGUGAUUUAUAUAUAUAUACAUGCUUGAUUUGACAAA